GAAGGAUCAUUAUCUAUUUGUUGGAUGUGGUCGCGGCCCCCGUAUUCCGGGUGGUAGGGGUAACACCCUCACGCGCCACAUGCACUAAUCCUCUUUUUACGAGCACCUUCUGUUCUCCUUCGGCGGGGCAACCUGCCGUUGGAACCAACAAAACCUUUUGAAUUCAGUAUUACCUGUUCUGAUACAAACAAUCGUAACAACUUUCAACAAUGGAUCUCUUGGCUCUGGCAUCGAUGAAGAACGCAGCGAAAUGCGAUAAGUAGUGUGAAUUGCAGAAUUCAGUGAAUCAUCGAAUCUUUGAACGCACAUUGCGCCCCUCGGUAUUCCAUGAGGCAUGCCUGUUCGAGCGUCAUUAGAACACUCAAGCUCUGCUUGGUGUUGGGUGUCUGUCCCGCCUCUUGUGCGUGGACUCGCCUUAAAGUCAUUGGCAGCCGCUCUUGUAGGCCUGGAAGCGCAGCAAAGUCCGCGCGGUAGGCUGUCAUGGUGGCGCCCAACAAGCUCUUCUUACACUUGACCUCGGAUCAGGUAGGGAUACCCGCUGAACUUAA
rnacentral:rRNA from 1 species